rfam:Oryza sativa Japonica Group DNA, chromosome 8, cultivar: Nipponbare, complete sequence.
UUUAAACAUAACGAUGAUUUCGUGUCUAAUCUUAAUCAUUUGUAUUAUUUAAUUUUUUUUAUUUUUAUUAUUAUUAGAUAACAAACAUGAAUACUACUUUAUACGUUACUUAUAUUUUUUAUUUUUUAAAAAAUAAUUAAAAUAAAAUGAAUGAUUAAAAUUGAACGUGUAACCUCAUGACUAUAUUUAUA